CAACGUUGUACGGAUAACGUUAGCAAGGCUACUUCACAACGUAAAUGUGCUCUACCCCUGUCUCCCCCUCCAACUUACCCUAGUAGAGGUGAUGUCCAUCAUAACCUCCUGAAAAGCGGCUGUUUCUUCAGCUUGACGUUGGGUGGACUUUUUUCAGCCAAAGACAAUCUCCAGAGCUCAUUCAGUGUCCCAGGCCCAAGAAGAGAAGCAUCCCCACAGCAUGAUGCUGCCACCACCAUGCUGUAUGGAAGAGAUGGCCUUCAUGGGGUGUCAGGCUUGCGCAAGGGUUUAAAUUAAUCGGCAGAUGCCGUUUUUUUGCCGGUAUCAGUUGAAGUUUUCCAGCAGAUUAAAAUAUCAAUGGCCAGAUGUCAAAUGAAUAAAUAAAUAGAUUAAUAGCAUAUUAUUAAAUAGCCUAAUAUUGGGUGACACAUAUGAUCUGUUG